UACGGAGGGAGCUAGCGUUUUCGGAAUUACUGGGCGUAAAGCGCACGUAGGCGGCGAUUCAAGUCAGAGGUGAAAGCCCGGGGCUCAACCCCGGAACUGCCUUUGAAACUAGAUUGCUAGAAUCCUGGAGAGGUGAGUGGAAUUCCGAGUGUAGAGGUGAAAUUCGUAGAUAUUCGGAAGAACACCAGUGGCGAAGGCGACUCACUGGACAGGUAUUGACGCUGAGGUGCGAAAGCGUGGGGAGCAAACAGG
rnacentral:rRNA from 1 species